CCCCAGGCUGGACCCCUCUGAGCUUAGGGCACCUCUGCACCCCAAAAACCCCACUACUGCCUCCCCGGUGGGAGUGCGCCAGAGCCUGGACUUUCGGGGGCUCCCUCCCCGUGGCCACUCGCGCGGACCUUCAGUGGCUCCUCGCCCAAGUCCCGCCGCUCGGACGUGGCUACAUUGAGGGGGAGGGGGGUGGCGAGCGCGGUAUAAAGGGCCGGAGGCGGUGCGCGCGGAGAUCUAGACGUGGCGCGUCCGCUCUGCCGGCCUCUGCUCCAGCUACAUUGAUAAACCGCCAUCUUAGAGGGGAGCAGCAGGGAGGGGGCUGAUGAGAAGGUCGCCUGGUGGAGAUACAGACGCUGCUGUGAUCAGGAGUGACCUCCAAGGGGCACCUCCGUCUGUGACCUUGACAAGGCAUGUGAUUGUAUUAGUAUCACGAGAAACCUCAGUCCAGAAGUCGUGGCCUAUGGACACUUACAUGGUAACUAGAUGUUCCUGCAGAUGAGCCAAGAGGCACAUGACACUCGUCAUCCACAGGUGUUCCCAUCUUACUCCUGUUUUCCUUCUUCUACAUCCCUGGCAUUUUAGAGUUGAAAAAACUGCGAGAUCCUCUGAUCAGCUCCAUUAGUUUUUUUUUUCUUGAAAUGGCCAAACAUUGAUAAAAACAACAUGCAGUUUUAUGCCUCACUAAGAUUGCCUAGUGCUAGUGUUUGUUCAUACACCAUUUUAAGUACUUCAAAGACCCAUGAUGUGGCUACAGAUAAGGCUGUGAUGCUCCCCAGAGACUUGACAGCAGAACCACCAGGUGGGGAGAACUCAGGGAGCCCAUACUCGAGGCCCUUGAGCUUCACCAGGGUAAAAAUUCUUUUACCCCUAGAAAUGCUCACCCACCGUUUAGUGGAGCAGCCUUCUCCCAUGGCAGAGGUAAGCAGGCCAGUUUUACUCAAAAACACCAGCCAGAAACUAAAACAGAAUAGAAAGAAAAUCGUGGCACACCUGAGAGUGAGCAUAAAUGGGCAUGGAGCGAAGUGGGGCCCUGGCCCUUAAACUGAGGGACCAGGGCCACCACGAAGGCACCUGCACGUCAGCCCUCUGCCAGGCUGCUCACUGGCCCCUGCACCACUCUCCCUCCUCUGAAGCUGAGGGCCACCCACACCCACCCGGGGCCUGCUUCCAGCUUCCCCGGCCUGUCAGGAGCCUGUUUGUCCCUGCUGGGUGUUCCAUGGAGGCUGACACACAGCAACUUGGCCUCACCCAACCCAGGUGAGCUUCCUACCUUUGAGCUUACCAGAACUCACCCCCCAGCUGAAAACCACCUCUAGAAGUAUUUUGCCUUGUCUUUAUGGUUAAAUUUCUAGAUAUAUUUUCCUAGCAACCCAAUUUCCUUAAAAUAAAAUUGUGCUCAAACCA